GCCCCUGUAGCUCAGGCGGAUAGAGCAUCGGUUUCCUAAACCGAGUGCCCGGGUUCGAGUCCCGGCGGGGGCA
rnacentral:tRNA from 1 species